rnacentral:tRNA from 2 species
GGGUCGUUAGCUCAGUUGGUAGAGCAGUUGACUUUUAAUCAAUUGGUCGCAGGUUCGAAUCCUGCACGACCCACCAA